ACUCCUACGGGAGGGCAGCAGUAGGGAAUCUUCCACAAUGGGCGCAAGCCUGAUGGAGCAACACCGCGUGAGUGAAGAAGGGUUUCGGCUCGUAAAGCUCUGUUGUUAAAGAAGAACACGUAUGAGAGUAACUGUUCAUACGUUGACGGUAUUUAACCAGAAAGUCACGGCUAACUACGUGCCAGCAGCCGCGGUAAUACGUAGGUGGCAAGCGUUAUCCGGUAUUUAUUGGGCGUAAAGAGAGUGCAGGUCGGUUUUACUAAGUCUGAUGUGAAACGCCUUCGGCUUAACCGGGAGAAGUGCAUCGGAAACUGGAUAACUUGAGUGCAGAAGAGGGUAGUGGAACUCCAUGUGUAGCGGUGGAAUGCGUAGAUAUAUGGAAGAACACC
rnacentral:rRNA from 1 species